UACGGGGGGGGCAAGCGCUGUUCGGAAUUACUGGGCGUAAAGGGCUCGUAGGCGGCCAACUAAGUCAGACGUGAAAUCCCUCGGCUUAACCGGGGAACUGCGUCUGAUACUGGAUGGCUUGAGAUUGGGAGAGGGAUGCGGAAUUCCAGGUGUAGCGGUGAAAUGCGUAGAUAUCUGGAGGAACACCGGUGGCGAAGGCGACAUCCUGGACCAACACUGACGCUGAGGAGCGAAAGCCAGGGGAGCAAACGGG
rnacentral:rRNA from 1 species